rnacentral:rRNA from 1 species
CCCGGCGACCGGCGCACGGGUGAGUAACACGUAUGCAACCUGGCCGCCACAGGGGGAUAACCCGCGGAAACGCGGCCUAAUACCCCGUGACGCCACCGGAGGGCAUCCUCCGGUGGCCAAAGGAGCGAUCCGGUGGCGGAUGGGCAUGCGGCGCAUUAGCUAGACGGCGGGGUGACGGCUCACCGUGGCGACGAUGCGUAGGGGUUCUGAGAGGAAGGCCCCCCACACUGGGACUGAGACACGGCCCAGACUCCUACGGAAGGCAGCAG